UACGAAGGGGGCUAGCGUUGCUCGGAAUCACUGGGCGUAAAGCGCACGUAGGCGGCUUUCUAAGUCAGGGGUGAAAUCCUGGAGCUCAACUCCAGAACUGCCUUUGAUACUGGAAGGCUUGAGUCCGGGAGAGGUGAGUGGAACUGCGAGUGUAGAGGUGAAAUUCGUAGAUAUUCGCAAGAACACCAGUGGCGAAGGCGGCUCACUGGCCCGGUACUGACGCUGAGGUGCGAAAGCGUGGGGAGCGAACAGG
rnacentral:rRNA from 1 species